rnacentral:misc_RNA from 1 species
AGAGAGAGAGAGAGAGAAAGAGGUUAAAUGAAUCUAAGUGGUGCAAAAGUCGCAAUUGAGGGCGACAGGAAUCACUGUAGAGAGAGAGAAAGAGUGGGGCUAGUGUGAGUGGGUUGAGGGAAAAAUGGAUUUGAAAUUGGCUUUUUUAGGGUUUUUGUUGCGUGAGGAGACAAAGGAUGUGCGUGGAAAUCAGAUUCCAGGUGCUGGGUGUGUGGAGAGAGUAGAUAGAGAUAGAGAGGGGAUGAUUUGAUGAUUCUCGCUCUUUUUUACUUUCUUUCUUUCUUUCUUUCUCAAAAGGAAUAAUUGGCGUCAGCACCUUUCUUCUUUUCGGUUUCUUUAUUAUUGUUUCUACAAGACAAGGUCACUCUGGUGUGCAUGUGCUUUGGGCUAAUUGGUUACUGGAUUUGGGACUUCGCCUUCGCUAUCUUUCUUUUGCCCGCAGAAUCAAACAAUUUUAUGCCCCUUUCCUUCUCCUUUUUCUGUGGUUUGCGAGCAGUUGGUGUCCUGUACAUG